rnacentral:rRNA from 1 species
UACGAAGGGUGCAAGCGUUACUCGGAAUUACUGGGCGUAAAGCGUGCGUAGGUGGUUUGUUAAGUCUGAUGUGAAAGCCCUGGGCUCAACCUGGGAAUUGCAUUGGAUACUGGCAGGCUAGAGUGCGGUAGAGGAUGGCGGAAUUCCCGGUGUAGCAGUGAAAUGCGUAGAGAUCGGGAGGAACAUCUGUGGCGAAGGCGGCCAUCUGGACCAGCACUGACACUGAGCCGCGAAAGCCAGGGGAGCGAACGGG